CCAGUUUGGCGGUUUAACCCUUCCACACGCCAAGGUUAGCAAUAUUAUUAUCCACUGCGCUGCUAACCGGGGUAUAGGUGACCCCGGUCAAAAGAGCGACAUGCUAUAUCGAAGACUACAAAUGGAAAAGGUCUAAAAUAAUCAUAGGUGCACAAAAGAAAUGAAAUGGAUGAGUGUAUUAAAACAAAUGGAGGAUUUGGCCCCAUCUCGUGGCAGGAAUAAGGUAUCGCACCAAUAGGUAUUUUUAGUCCAUCUCUACAACAAUUUGCUGAAGUGACGAGAAAAGUGCUUCAAAUGAAAUUGAUAAUUAUUAUUAUUGUCAUCAUCUGGUGGCGGUGGUGGUGGUGGUGGUGGGGGGGGGUGUUGUUGUUGAUGAUGGAGGAAAGCAUAGUUAGGACCCUAGGGGAUUUUGUCUUUUAACAUGGAAAGUACCCAAAAGUCAUUGACGGAAGGGAAGGAGUGAAACGUGGCCCCCCUCCCCUCUCUAGUUGUCGAGGGAAGAUCUGAACCUAGGAGUGACACCGCAAUGCAAUGAAUCUUCUGGGGUCCCAAAAAUAAACAAAUAUGGGGUCAACAUGACACGGGAAAGCAUUGAAAGAAGUGAACGUGUAAACUGCCGCUCCCUAGGGGCAGAGGAAAGAACUGAACCUGGAACAGGUACCCCAGUGGCCAAGGGAGGAACUAAAUGGGAUAAAUGCUGACCCCUGGUGGAAAGCGCAAAGACAAGAAAAUAAACAAUUAGCAAGGAAAUGAAGGUGUACUACAAAGUCCCCCCCCCCACCCCUGGUGGUCUGGAGAAGAACUGCGCUUGCAACGAAUCUUCUGGGGCCCAAAAAAUAAAUAAAUAAAUAAAUAUGGGGUCAACAUGACAUAGGAAAGCAUUGAAAGAAGUGAAUGUGUAACUCGCCGCUCCCUAGGGGCAGAGGAAAGAACUGAACCUGAACGGGUACCCCAGUGGCCAAGGGAGGAAAUGAGACUGGAAUUUAUCUUAAAAAAAAAUAGGGUCAUAGUAACCAUAGAGGCAAAGGUGGAAGUGAACGUGCUGGAGGACGCCCCCCCUCCAGUGACCGUUUGAAGAAUUCAGCUUGGUAAUUGUCUACUGUGAAUAAGAAAGAAAAAAAAAGAAGAAAAAAAAAAGUGGGGUCAAAAGUACCCCAAACUCUUCGGAGGACAUAGACAGGGAGACUACUCCCCCUCUACCCCUAGUGGCCAGGGAAAUAACUGAACAUGGAGAGGACCCCUAGUGGACAAGGGAAAGAACUGAACACGGAGAGGACCCCUAGUGGACAAUGGAGGUACCAACAUCAUUAAGAAAAAGUAAAAAAAAAAGUGGGGUCAAAAGUACCCCAAACUCUUCGGAGGACAUAGACAGGGAGACCACUCCCCCUCUACCCCUAGUGGCCAGGGAAAGAACUGAGCACGGAGAGGACCCCUAGUGGACAAGGGAAAGAACUGAACACGGAAAGGACCCUUAGUGGACAAGGGAGGUACCAACAAGGAGAAAUGGCGACCCCUGGUGGAAGCGGAAAGAAAGACAAAUUGUGGGGGUGUUUGUGGCACCCCCAAGUGGCCAGGGAAAGAACUGAACACGGACAGGACCCCUAGUGGACAAGGGAGGUACCAACAUCAUUAAGAAAAAGUAAAAAAAAAAA